AACGAACGCUGGCGGCAGGCCUAACACAUGCAAGUCGAACGAACCUUUUAGGUGAGUGGCGCACGGGUGCGUAACACGUGGGAAUAUACACUUCGGUAAGGAAUAACACAGAGAAAUUUGUGCUAAUACCUUAUAAUGACUCCGGUCCAAAGAUUUAUCGCCGAAGGAUUAGCCCGCGCUAGAUUAGUUUGUUGGUGAGGUAAAAGCUCACCAAGACUACGAUCUAUAGCUGGUCUUAGAGGAUGAUCAGCCACACUGGUACUGAGACACGGACCAGACUCCUACGGGAGGCAGCAGUGAGGAAUAUUGCGCAAUGGGGGAAACUCUGACGCAGCCAUGCCGCGUGAGUGACGAAGGCCCUAGGGUUGUAAAGCUCUUUCAGAUGCGAAGAUAAUGACGGUAACAUCAGAAGAAGCUCCGGCU
rnacentral:rRNA from 1 species